UUAAACGUCCAUACGACGUUGAAUACACCGGUUCUCGUCCGAUCACCGAAGUUUGACAACGUCUGGCGCGGUUAGUACUUGGAUGGGUGACCGUCUGGGAACACCGCGUGCCGUUGUUU
rnacentral:rRNA from 1 species